rnacentral:rRNA from 1 species
UACGUAGGGGCCAAGCGUUGUCCGGAUUUAUUGGGCGUAAAGAGUUCGUAGGCGGUCUGUUAAGUCUGAUGUUAAAGAGUCAGGGCCCAACCCUGGGAGUGCAUUGGAUACUGGCAGACUGGAGUGUGGUAGAGGUAAGUGGAAUUCCUGGUGUAGCGGUGAAAUGCGUAGAUAUCAGGAAGAACACCCGUGGCGAAGGCGGCUCUCUGGGACGGUACUGACGCUGAGACGCGAAAGCGUGGGGAGCG